rnacentral:rRNA from 1 species
AACGACUGCUAAUACCAUAUAUUCUCCUUUGGAGGAAAGAUUUAUCGCUAUAGGAUGAGCCUGCGCUAAAUUAGGUUGUUGGUGGGGUAAUGGCCUACCAAGCCUAUGAUUUAUAGCUGGUCUGAGAGGACGAUCAGCCACACUGGAACUGAGACACGGUCCAGACUCCUACGGGAGGCAGCAGUGGGGAAUAUUGGACAAUGGGCGCAAGCCUGAUCCAGCAAUGUCGCGUGAAUGAUGAAGGCCUUAGGGCUGUAAAAUUCUUUCGGUAGGGAAGAAAAUGACGGUACCUACAGAAGAAGUUCCGGCUAACUCCGUGCCAGCAGCCGCGGUAAUACGGGGGGAGCUAGCGUUUUUCGGAUUUACUGGGCGUAAAGGGCGUGUAGGCGGUUAAUAAAGUUGAAAGUGAAAUCCUUGGGCUUAACCUGAGAACUGCUUUCAAAACUUAUUGACUAGAGAACGAUAGAGGAUGACAGAAUUCCUAGUGUAGAGGUGAAAUUCUUAGAUAUUAGGAGGAAUACCGGUGGCGAAGGCGGUUAUCUGGGUCGUUUCUGACGCUGAGGCGCGAAAGCGUGGGGAGCAAACAGGAUUAGAUACCCUGGUAGUCCACGCUGUAAACGAUGAGUGUUAGGUGUUGGGAUCGCAAGAUUUCAGUGCCGUAGCUAACGCAUUAAACACUCCGCCUGGGGAGUAAGGUCGCAAGAUUAAAACUCAAAGGAAUUGACGGGGACCUGCACAAGUGGUGGAACAUGCGGUUUAAUCCGAUGCUACGCGCAAAACCUUACCAACUCUUGACAUGGUGGUCGCGGGAUUCAGAAAUGAAUUCUUUCAGUUCGGCUGGACCACACACAGGUGUUGCAUGGCCGUCGUCAGCUCGUGUUGUGAGAU